AAUUUAUUUCACAUUUUGGACAGAAAAGAUAAGGAUUUAGGAGGAAUAAUUAUACUGGAAACAAGGUCUAUCAGUUAUGGAUGGAUGAAGACUCCCAAACAGCUCCACAGACCAGGGCAGAACACAAAAUUCAGACCUCACCUGCAUUUCUUCUUACCUGGCGGAGGUGGGAUUUUUUCCUUCACCCAGUCACUUCUCAUCAGAAGGUCAUUAUGGAGAAGUAAUGUCCGAAUGUGUGCGGAGAAACCGUUGUGAAGUGCAACCGUUCGGAUACUCUCUCCCACCAACUACCUACAAUCAAAUCCAGCAGCUAAGAAGCAGUUUCAAGUAGAUUACGCUCUUGUAAUGUGAACCAAGUACCUCGGUGAGAAAGACAUGAGAACCCACCAAAGGGCAUUCCACUUGCACAGAAGAGAGAUGGAGGGACAGGUUGUGCUUCCCCAGCUGCAGUCAAAGCUUUAUCAGGUACAACUAUGAGACUUUGGGAAAGAAGCUUCAUUAGUUCCACUGUUAAGAGCACUCCCUUUUUUUUAAAAAAAAGAAGCAAUGACUUCAGUACAUUAUUAAAAAAAAAAAGUCCUUAAAAAGCCUCAUGUUUUACAACUGCUUAGGAUUCACAUCUACUAACGAGUAAUGUCAGUUUGUUGGUUUCAGGACUGCUCUGGCAUUUAGCACAACUAAAAACCUGGCUCUCUUGAGCUUACUUACAGUGGAUUUGGCUACCUAUAGAUUUUUUUUUUACUUUGUCCUCAAAAAGUAAGGAUUCUGAUUCUUUCUGGGCGCAUUCUUUUCCCUAUGCUUUUGAAAAGAUCCUAAAGAUCAACUCUUCAAAGGUACUUCUGCUGUCUAAAAGCAUGUGGGUAUUAGACAGAGACCUAACAUUUUCUGAGCAGCAGUUUACUGAUUUGAAACUGGAUAUAGAAUGUUACUGUAAUGCAGAUUAGUUUUCAAUUAUUAUCCCUGUGCUUCUUUUCAGUUUAUCUUUUCCUGCCUUGUUUUCAAAAAUGCUGUUUUUCUUUUUCUCGCUAUCAGACUAAGAUUGAAAGUACAGCUUUUGCAAGAGUUAUUUAUGUAGCUAAGACCACAACCUAUAAGAAUGCUUUGCAGUCUGUGAUACCCUGUGUGUUUCAUGUGAGAAAUUACUGAAAAGAGAAUCAAAAUAAGUGUAUUCAAGUAAAGAUGUUAACUAGAAAUCUACAAGAGGAUUACACUCCUCACAAAAAUGGAUAUAGUAAGUUCUCAGGACAAAUAAAAAUCUUAAUGACUUUG